AUCAAUGGUUCAUUCAUUAGUAAUUGAGAUAUAAAUCUAUUGUAGGAAUUACUAGGAUUUGAUUUAAGGUUUAGUAUUUGGUUUAGGAUUUGGUUAGAGUGUGAUUUAAGAUUAGGGUUUGGUUUAAGGUUUAGGAUUUAGUGAGGGUUUGAUUUAGGAUUAGGAUUUGGUUAGGAUUUGGUUUAGGAUUUAGGAUUUGGUUUAGGAUUAGUUAGGAUUUGAUUUGGGAUUUAGGAUUUGGUUUAGGAUUAGUUAGGAUUUGAUUUAGGAUUUAGGAUUUGAUUAGGAUUUGAUUUAGGAUUUAGGGCUUGGUUUAGGAUUUAAGGUUUGGUUAGGAUUUGGUCAAGAUUUGAUUUAGGAUUUAGGAUUUUAUUUGAGUUUGUUUAGGAUUUAAGAUUUAGUUAGUUUUUGGCCUAAAGUUUGAAUGAAGUCCAAUAGAAUUUCAACUAGGAUUAAAUUAAGAUUGAAUUGAGAUGUAUUUGAGAUAUAUUUAUAAUCAUCUUAAUAUUUCAUUAAAAUUUCUUAUUAUUUCUUUAGAAUUCCUGUGAGGUUUCUCUGAAUUUUAUUAAAGUUUGUUUAGCAUUGUUAGUGUUUUAUUAGAAUUAGGAUUUUGUUAUUGUAAUUUCUAUUCUACCUUCCACAACUAAGUGCCUGGAGCAUUCUCAAGCAAGACUUCACAUAUUACAACAGCAGUUGAAAGAUAUCUAGGUUUUGGUACAAGAAGGUAGCAAAAGUUAGCACUUUGGGGUUGGAUAGGAUUUCUAUGAUAUCUAAAGAUCUACUAAUUGGAUCAAUAUGAAAUU
rnacentral:lncRNA from 1 species